rnacentral:rRNA from 1 species
GACGAACGCUGGCGGCGUGCUUAACACAUGCAAGUCGAACGGAAAGGCCCUGCUUUUGUGGGGUGCUCGAGUGGCGAACGGGUGAGUAACACGUGAGUAACCUGCCCUUGACUUUGGGAUAACUUCAGGAAACUGGGGCUAAUACCGGAUAGGAGCUCCUGCUGCAUGGUGGGGUUGGAAAGUUUCGGCGGUUGGGGAUGGACUCGCGGCUUAUCAGCUUGUUGGUGGGGUAGUGGCUUACCAAGGCUUUGACGGUAGCCGGCCUGAGAGGGUGACCGGCCACAUUGGGACUGAGAUACGGCCCAGACUCCUACGGGAGGCAGCAGUGGGGAAUAUUGCACAAUGGGCGGAAGCCUGAUGCAGCAACGCCGCGUGC